ACUCAAUAGAUACCCAGGUAGUCCACGCCCUAAACGAUGUCGACUGGUUGUUGGGGGUUUGACACUCUCAGUAAACGAAAGCUAAACGCGUGAAGUCGACCGCCUGGGGAGUACGGCCGCAAGGUUAAAACUCAAAGGAAUUGACGGGGACCCGCACAAGCGGUGGAUUAUGUGGAUUAAUUCGAUGCAACGCGAAAAACCUUACCUACCCUUGACAUGUCCGAGAGCCCGCUGAGAGGCGGGUGUGCCCGAAAGGGAAUCGGAACACAGGUGCUGCAUGGCUGUCGUCAGCUCGUGUCGUGAGAUGUUGGGUUAAGUCCCGCAACGAGCGCAACCCUUGCCAUUAGUUGUCACCCGUAAGGGGGGCACUCUAAUGGGACUGCCGGUGACAAACCGGAGGAAGGUGGGGAUGACGUCAAGUCCUCAUGGCCCUCAUGGGUAGGGCUUCACACGUAAUACAAUGGCGCGUACAGAGGGUUGCCAAGGAGCGAUCUGGAGCCAAUCCCGUAAAGCGCGUCGUAGUCCGGAUUGCAGUCUGCAACUCGACUGC
rnacentral:rRNA from 1 species